rnacentral:rRNA from 1 species
AUUGAACGCUGGCGGCAGGCCUAACACAUGCAAGUCGAACGAGUGGCGGACGGGUGAGUAAUGUCUGGGAAACUGCCUGAUGGAGGGGGCUAACUACUGGAAACGGUAGCUAAUACCGCAUACCAUCGGAUGUGCCCAGAUGGGAUUAGCUAGCAGGUGGGGUAAAGGCUCACCUAGGCGACGCUCCCUAGCUGGUCUGAGAGGAUUACCAGCCACACGGGGACGGAGACACGGUCCAGACGCCUACGGGAGGCAGCAGUGGGGAAUAUUGCGCAAUGGGCGCAAGCCUGAUGCAGCCAUGCAGCGUGGAUGAAGAAGGCCUUCGGGUUGUAAAGUACUGUCAGCAGGGAGGCGUUACCCAAAGAAGAAGCACCGGCUAACUCCGUGCCAGCCGCCGCGGUAAUUC